AGAGAGUGAAAGAGAGCUGUAUCUCAUAGUUGAAAUCAAGACUGUUCUCAGGGCAGGUCUUCCCGUUUUGACUAGCAGAAGUUACUUUAUUAAUUAAGCAGCAGGUUACGAGAAUUAAAGCAGGUUAGGAUAAUUAGGUAAAGGUUAGGGAAAGCUAAAAUGCUAACAAUGUCCCCGACGCGACUCGAACAUAUCUACAACCAGGCCUGCCCUGACAACAGACUUGAUUUCUACUAAUGCGAUGAUCGGCUGUCUGCGAGGGAAGACUCAUGAGAAAAUAAGCUUUAUGUUCUACUCAAGCUAUUAUAUUUUAAAUUUUUGGGAAAAGUCGCCUAAAUAUUUUUGAGCGGCUGCAAGGUAUGUACUAAUUCCAUAUACUAUAUAUUUCUAUAUACCUACUGCAGGUUUUCUUAACUAAGCUACUAAUUAGCUAGCUAACUUUAGCUUGUUUGGAUUGGGUUAGCUAACAGUAGCCAGGUUGACAUGUCGGUCUGUUGCGUUGAUCUUUCUUGCUGGUAAAAUAAUCAGUGAUGUUGUAGCUAUACAGCAGCAAAUCAUUUUAGUAUUAACAACGUGCAGAAAUCCGUAUGUGAGUUUAUUUUGAUAGGCUACUUAACCGGUGGGUGCAUGACAUGAGUGGCAUGGUGCUAACGCUAUGGUAUUAGUGGCAAAGUGGUCAUAGGCUUCACCGGACAAAAAUACUGUUUGUCUAGGGAGGGAGCGAGAGUUUAGCUAUGUUGAAUGCACCUUUAGUUUGUCAGCAGGCAUGGACUGGCAUUUUGCCUUGGGAUGUAUACUUUUGGGGUGAUUCUGUAGUUGGAAUGAGAGGUGUCUCAGAUGGGGAAUGGUGCUUGCUAACGUUAGCUAUAGCUCAGAGAUGACGCACUCCUUUGUACACCUUUCUCUAAGUCUAAAUAUCUCUGGUUAGCGUUAGCUCUAUUCAGUUUCGGGGUGCGUGUGAUUUAGCAAAAGUGUAGUGGAAUUUUCUCCCUGCUUUUGUUAUCCUUAGUCCAUUAAAUUUAUUAAUUCAGCAACAGCAGGCACAGACUGAUAUUUUGCCCUGCAGGAUAUUAAAGUUAUCUUUUAUUUUCAUUUUCUUCACAUUGUGUGGUUAGCUUGCUAGCAUUAUUCAGGGCGAUGGUCGUGGCAUUUUCCCGCGUGAGUUGAAUUUUCCUUGUGCUUUUGCUAAUCUUUCAGAAAUUAUCCUUAUCCAACCAUUAAUUAGGCAACAUUAAAUUAAUGAUAUCUGAAACAUCAGGCACAGACUGAUAUUUUAUUUAGCCUUGUAGUCUAUACAUUUUGGGGGGGGGGAUUGUGUGGUUGGCAUGAGUUGCAUGGUAGCAUAUAGCUUGAUAGCUCUUUUGGUAUGUGCAUGCAAUUUGGUGGCUGGGGUCGUGUAAUUUUCAUAUUGCAGGCUGGCUGGUAGCUGGAAGUAGCUUUAUUGGGAAUGUACAGGUGUAAAUCCUGCCAUUUCUGUUUCCUAAAUAUUAAAGCAUUCAUUACUCAUGCAAAAAAAACAUAGAAAUGUGGCGAACUACAGUUUUGCUUGUGGGGUAGAGUGCCCUUGCGCCAAAGCAUCACUACUUGUUACACUUGGGCAACUCAUUCGUUUGUGGACACCGAGGUUCGAGAGCAAGCACUCCUACUUCAAGGAGUGUGCCAGAAAACUUGUCUGAGAAGCACCGGUUACUCCAAUCUUACUUAUGCAGCGGCCAAUUGUUUCCACAUAGCAUUGAAGUUGUUGGUGUCAUGAAUUAAUUUGAGGAGCAAUUAUAUAACAACGUCAUUCAGGGAGCUGGACAGUCAAAAGGGUUCACAAAGCAAAGCAUUGCAGAGGUGUCUAAAAUGGUAUACAAAGUAACAACAUACACUGAAGGCCUUGUUGUAAUGGGAGAAAAUGAUGACGGAUACACAUUUGGAAAGAUCUCACUGAUUCUGGUCACAGAAUCACAGGUCUAUUUAAUCGUUGGCGUGUAUCACUCUGUGUCACUGGUUGAUCUCAGGGUUCAUUUUAUACCAGAUUCUCUGAUUAAUUAUGUGUGUGUUAAUGCAGAUAGUCUGAGUGAUUAUUACCCAUUACCAGUUUAUAAAGUGUUAGGUUUCUCUGUUGUUUCUUUGCAUCACUCAGUGAGUUCUCCUUAAACCAGUGUAGGCAUAGAGGGUCUUCAAGAUGCAAUAAACACCAAAUGCCCGAGUUGGAGACCGAGACGGUGAGAUCUUUGUCAGAGCAUCUGAGGGCAAAUGUUGGAGUGGAGAAUAUUAAAGACCUUGAAUAUGUUCAGCCCGGAGGACAUAAAAGACCAUUUGACGCCAAUAUAGUGCCGGGAAUUGCUUCAGUCCUUCAACCAAAGAGGUGUGAUCUUGAUUGAUAAAUGUAACAUAUUUACGUCAUUGUUAUGAAAAAAGAUGCUAUCAGGAACCUAAAAUGGUUAUUUGGCUGUCCCCAUAUGAGAACCCUUUGAAGAUCCCUUUUUGAUUCCAGAUACAUGUAUAACCGUUUUGGUUCCAGGUAGAACUCUUCUGGGUUCCAUGUAGAACCCCUUCCAUAGAGGGUUCUACAUGGAACCCAAAAGGGUUCUACCUGGAACCAAAAAGGGUUCUCCUAUGGGGACAGCCAAAGAACCCUUUCGGGAACCCUUUUCUUUAAGAGUGUACGUACACACAAGUUUAAAAAGGUUCUGUAAAUAGUUCAUUUGUUUGCCCUCAAAAUAAAUGGUUUAUGCUAUGAGGGAGCGAGGCAUAUGCAAUAAAGGCGACAGAAAUUACAAAAAGUACAAAAAUAUACAAAUGUUUCUGUAAAUUGUUUGUCCUCUUGUGCAGCACAUAGCCUAACAGAGUUUUUUCUUAGAAUUUUUUAAAAGAAAAUUAAGAAUGGAUAGGAUCUUUAACAAUGGAUAGGACACUUGUCCUCCUCCAAGCGUCAGUGACCUCCAGGAACAGUGGCCUUUCCUUAUCACCAAGUUAUGGCUCUGCGACCACUUCAAUACCCUCACUGGCAUCGUGAUUGACAGUUGCCUGACUCAAGCUCUCCUGAACAAGGGUAAGAGAAUUGUCAACUUUUUUAAAAGCUAAAAGACCAAGCUGAGGAGAGAGAUCCAGUGCCUGCUGAAUGAAAUCGACAUCAGAGGCAAUGACGAUCACUGCUGCCAUUCUUUUGUUGAUGACCCACUUCAAAGAGAAGGACGAAUCUCUGUUCCUCUUGGAAGAUGUCAUUGUAACUCAGGUUGAUGUCGAGGCGCAAAUUCCUUUGCCAUACACACCAAGGCUGAUCAUGCUUGGAAAUACUCUAUUAUAUUCCUCAAAAUGGAUGGUGUCGAUCGAGGGGAGAGUGCUCUGUGUUUUGGACAGUGAGUCCAACUUUGCUGCUGCCCUUUCUGUGCUCUUCAGCACGUUCAAUGUUUUUAACAUAGAAUACCAGGAGUUGGCCUCUGCAACCUUGGGGCUGAUACAGAGGUUCCUGGUUUGAGUAAACCCUGAAGGAACCAAAUGCACAGCGAAAGCAAGAGUGAGCCGCAAGACCGUAAAGGUCAUUCAGAGGAAGCCAUUGCCAAUUAACCCACAUGUUAGACACUUUCUCGCAGACCUGAAGGAGUUCGAGUGUAAAAACAGACACACCUGAUGAACACAAACUUUGUCAGUUGUCAUCUGCCUUUUUACCCAGCGAGUAAUAGUAAUUGUAAUAGUAGUAGUGAUAGUAAUAGUAAUAGUAGUAGUCAUAGUAGUAGUGAUAGUAAUAGUAGUAGUAAUAGUAGUAGUGAUAGUAAUAGUCAUAGUAGUAGUAAUAGUAGUAGUGAUAGUAAUAGUAGUAGUAAUAGUAGUAGUAAUAGUGAUAGUAAUAGUCAUAGUAGUAGUAAUAGUAGUAGUCAUAGUAGUAGUGAUAGUAAUAGUAGUAGUCAUAGUAAUAGUAGUAGUGAUAGUAAUAUUGAUAGUAGUAGUGAUAGUCAUAGUAAUAGUAGUAGUGAUAGUAAUAGUAGUAGUCAUAGUAAUAGUAGUAGUGAUAGUAGUAGUGAUAGUAAUAGUAGUAGUGAUAGUAGUAGUCAUGGUAAUAGUAGUAGUAAUAGUAGUGGUUAUAGUAGUAGUCAUGGUAAUAGUAGUAGUCAUAGUAAUAGUAGUAGUGAUAGUAAUAGUAGUAGUCAUAGUGAUAGUAAUAGUGAUAGUAGUAGUGAUAGUAGUAGUAGUAGUAAUAGUAGUAGUAGUAGUGAUAAUAAUAGUAGUAGUCAUGGUAAUAGUAGUAGUAAUAGUGAUAGUGAUAGUAGUAGUCAUGGUAAUAGUAGUAGUAAUAGGGAUAGUAGUAGUAAUAGGGAUAGUAGUAGUAAUAGUAGUAGUGAUAGUAAUAGUAGUAGUGAUAAUAGUAGUCAUGGUAAUAGUAGUAGUGAUUGUAAUAGUAGUAGUGAUAGUAGUAGUAGCAGUAGUUGUAGUAGUCGUAGUGAUAGUAAUAGUAGUGAUAGUAGUAGUAAUAGUAGUAGUCAUAGUAGUAGUCGUCAUAGUAGUAGUGAUAGUAGUAGUAAUAGUAGUCAUAGUAAUAGUAGUAGUGAUAGUAGUAGUCAUAGUAACGGUAAUAGUAGUAGUAAUAGUAGUCAUAGUAUUAGUCAUAGUAAUAGCAAUCUCUAUCUUUCUAUGUCCAUGUUUGUCCUAGUUGACGUAUCAGAGCUAAGGAGGAUCAGUUUCAAAGAUUGGGGUGAUAAUCUGCACGCCACCGAGAUUUAUUCGAGACUUAUUUGCGUCUCUCAUUUUCUCAGAAAUCCUUCCAUGUGGCUUGGGUCAGCAAAUGAUCUGCUUGCGCCAUCCCGGAGCCUGUGUUGGCUUGUGGUAGCGUGCUUCUCUGGCUCCAGUCUAGCCCUGCUCGCUCCUCUCUAUCCAUCCUUCUCUCUCAGCCCCUUUCUCUCUCGAUCUCUCUCUUGUUUCUCUCUCAAAGACAGGCAGGCAAGCAGUUAUUGUUAUAGUUUUUUGUAAAAAAUGUUCCCUGUUCAACUGUUCUUUUCCUAUUUUUCAUUGAUCUGUUUAGAUUUUAUUUUUUUCUUACAUAAUCCUGUAUUUUCAAGAAUUACCUUGUUACGUUCCCCAGUUUCUGUGUUGUAGUUUGUGUUUCAAGUAAUGGCUUCCUGAAGUUCUCCAAGCAGCUGAUUGGUCGGCCCCAUUGCUGAUUGGAGAGCUGACCCGCCCCCUCGUCAGGACGCAGCUGUCUCCAAUUAACAACCCCACCUAAAGCUAUAUAAGCCAGUGUGCUGUUGCUCAGAGGAGGAGACACACAGAUGAUGACAGAGAGAUAUUUGCUGGGAGACACAGAUAAUGGCUGAGAGUUAG
rnacentral:lncRNA from 1 species